GCCAAAUCUACGCACCUGCAGUGUGACAGUGGAAGGGAGCUCGGCCUUGAAAACUUGGUCUGACCUCGGCUGCAUCAUAGGUAGGAAUCAUCGUGGUGCCGCGUGUUUGAGGAAGUGUGAAAUUGUCUAAGCUGUAGAUACAGGCAGGGAUUCUUGACGUUGAAGAAGUCUUACAGACGCUUCUCCACCUUAGCGAUACGAGUAGAAUCACCCACUAAGAUGACCUCAUGGGUUUGGGCCUUGACCAUCUUGGCAUGGCUCAGGGUCAUCUCCACGGGCUCCAGGGGGGUGCAGAAAAGAAGUCUGAACAUGAACAUGUUACAUGAGUAAUGGACGUGUGGAAGCCCACACCUUCGCACAAGAAGUUGAUUUUCAAGGUUGGAAGAGGACUUCGAUGCUCGAGGUGGCGGGAGUUGGUAGUGCUCAACGCUGCCGUCCUUUCGCUGUCUCUCAAGCCAGACUAGCUGGGAUGGGUCAGUUUCAGCGCCACCGGCUUCUUAUCCGGAGUAGAAGCCCUGUCUCCUCCUUCCCUCGCUGGCGAGAACCUUCCUGCACCUUCUGCUCCCAUCCAAGCCUUCGGACCCAGCCACGACCACCGGCCGCGCUGACUCCCGCAGAAAAUUUGGACCCAGAUGCCCGGAGAGGCGAGAAUAGAGUGGCUGGACCCCAUCCCUCUCCCCGCUCCCCCACUCAACUGCCCCACCCAACCCAACCCACCCCAACACCCCUCCCCCCCGCUUCAGAAAGCCCUGCGCGUGUUACCACGCAAACAAAACCAUAGUUUCUAAAAUGUAAAUAGUGGUUCGGGGCUUGUCUUAAAAGAAUGAAUGCU